AAAGUCGUAACAAGGUUUCCGUAGGUGAACCUGCGGAAGGAUCAUUUCCAAAUACCGGAGUUCGCUCCACGAGAUUGCCUAAAGGCCUUGCGCCUCUAGGCUUCUCAAAAUCUGCCUGUUGUAUUGUUUGUCAAAAUUGGUGCUUAAUAUAUAACAACUUUUAACAAUGGAUCUCUUGGCUCUU
rnacentral:misc_RNA from 1 species